rnacentral:rRNA from 1 species
GGUUAAGCGACUAAGCGUACACGGUGGAUGCCCUGGCAGUCAGAGGCGAUGAAGGACGUGCUAAUCUGCGAUAAGCGUCGGUAAGGUGAUAUGAACCGUUAUAACCGGCGAUUUCCGAAUGGGGAAACCCAGUGUGUUUCGACACACUAUCAUUAACUGAAUCCAUAGGUUAAUGAGGCGAACCGGGGGAACUGAAACAUCUAAGUACCCCGAGGAAAAGAAAUCAACCGAGAUUCCCCCAGUAGCGGCGAGCGAACGGGGAGCAGCCCAGAGCCUGAAUCAGUAUGUGUGUUAGUGGAAGCGUCUGGAAAGGCGCGCGAUACAGGGUGACAGCCCCGUACACAAAAAUGCACAUGCUGUGAGCUCGAUGAGUAGGGCGGGACACGUGGUAUCCUGUCUGAAUAUGGGGGGACCAUCCUCCAAGGCUAAAUACUCCUGACUGACCGAUAGUGAACCAGUACCGUGAGGGAAAGGCGAAAAGAACCCCGGCGAGGGGAGUGAAAAAGAACCUGAAACCGUGUACGUACAAGCAGUGGGAGCACGCUUAGGCGUGUGACUGCGUACCUUUUGUAUAAUGGGUCAGCGACUUAUAUUCUGUAGCAAGGUUAACCGAAUAGGGGAGCCGAAGGGAAACCGAGUCUUAACUGGGCGUUAAGUUGCAGGGUAUAGACCCGAAACCCGGUGAUCUAGCCAUGGGCAGGUUGAAGGUUGGGUAACACUAACUGGAGGACCGAACCGACUAAUGUUGAAAAAUUAGCGGAUGACUUGUGGCUGGGGGUGAAAGGCCAAUCAAACCGGGAGAUAGCUGGUUCUCCCCGAAAGCUAUUUAGGUAGCGCCUCGUGAAUUCAUCUCCGGGGGUAGAGCACUGUUUCGGCAAGGGGGUCAUCCCGACUUACCAACCCGAUGCAAACUGCGAAUACCGGAGAAUGUUAUCACGGGAGACACACGGCGGGUGCUAACGUCCGUCGUGAAGAGGGAAACAACCCAGACCGCCAGCUAAGGUCCCAAAGUCAUGGUUAAGUGGGAAACGAUGUGGGAAGGCCCAGACAGCCAGGAUGUUGGCUUAGAAGCAGCCAUCAUUUAAAGAAAGCGUAAUAGCUCACUGGUCGAGUCGGCCUGCGCGGAAGAUGUAACGGGGCUAAACCAUGCACCGAAGCUGCGGCAGCGACACUAUGUGUUGUUGGGUAGGGGAGCGUUCUGUAAGCCUGUGAAGGUGUGCUGUGAGGCAUGCUGGAGGUAUCAGAAGUGCGAAUGCUGACAUAAGUAACGAUAAAGCGGGUGAAAAGCCCGCUCGCCGGAAGACCAAGGGUUCCUGUCCAACGUUAAUCGGGGCAGGGUGAGUCGACCCCUAAGGCGAGGCCGAAAGGCGUAGUCGAUGGGAAACAGGUUAAUAUUCCUGUACUUGGUGUUACUGCGAAGGGGGGACGGAGAAGGCUAUGUUGGCCGGGCGACGGUUGUCCCGGUUUAAGCGUGUAGGCUGGUUUUCCAGGCAAAUCCGGAAAAUCAAGGCUGAGGCGUGAUGACGAGGCACUACGGUGCUGAAGCAACAAAUGCCCUGCUUCCAGGAAAAGCCUCUAAGCAUCAGGUAACAUCAAAUCGUACCCCAAACCGACACAGGUGGUCAGGUAGAGAAUACCAAGGCGCUUGAGAGAACUCGGGUGAAGGAACUAGGCAAAAUGGUGCCGUAACUUCGGGAGAAGGCACGCUGAUAUGUAGGUGAAGUCCCUCGCGGAUGGAGCUGAAAUCAGUCGAAGAUACCAGCUGGCUGCAACUGUUUAUUAAAAACACAGCACUGUGCAAACACGAAAGUGGACGUAUACGGUGUGACGCCUGCCCGGUGCCGGAAGGUUAAUUGAUGGGGUCAGCGCAAGCGAAGCUCUUGAUCGAAGCCCCGGUAAACGGCGGCCGUAACUAUAACGGUCCUAAGGUAGCGAAAUUCCUUGUCGGGUAAGUUCCGACCUGCACGAAUGGCGUAAUGAUGGCCAGGCUGUCUCCACCCGAGACUCAGUGAAAUUGAACUCGCUGUGAAGAUGCAGUGUACCCGCGGCAAGACGGAAAGACCCCGUGAACCUUUACUAUAGCUUGACACUGAACAUUGAGCCUUGAUGUGUAGGAUAGGUGGGAGGCUUUGAAGUGUGGACGCCAGUCUGCAUGGAGCCGACCUUGAAAUACCACCCUUUAAUGUUUGAUGUUCUAACGUGGACCCGUGAUCCGGGUUGCGGACAGUGUCUGGUGGGUAGUUUGACUGGGGCGGUCUCCUCCUAAAGAGUAACGGAGGAGCACGAAGGUUGGCUAAUCCUGGUCGGACAUCAGGAGGUUAGUGCAAUGGCAUAAGCCAGCUUGACUGCGAGCGUGACGGCGCGAGCAGGUGCGAAAGCAGGUCAUAGUGAUCCGGUGGUUCUGAAUGGAAGGGCCAUCGCUCAACGGAUAAAAGGUACUCCGGGGAUAACAGGCUGAUACCGCCCAAGAGUUCAUAUCGACGGCGGUGUUUGGCACCUCGAUGUCGGCUCAUCACAUCCUGGGGCUGAAGUAGGUCCCAAGGGUAUGGCUGUUCGCCAUUUAAAGUGGUACGCGAGCUGGGUUUAGAACGUCGUGAGACAGUUCGGUCCCUAUCUGCCGUGGGCGCUGGAGAACUGAGGGGGGCUGCUCCUAGUACGAGAGGACCGGAGUGGACGCAUCACUGGUGUUCGGGUUGUCAUGCCAAUGGCACUGCCCGGUAGCUAAAUGCGGAAGAGAUAAGUGCUGAAAGCAUCUAAGCACGAAACUUGCCCCGAGAUGAGUUCUCCCUGACCCUUUAAGGGUCCUGAAGGAACGUUGAAGACGACGACGUUGAUAGGCCGGGUGUGUAAGCGCAGCGAUGCGUUGAGCUAACCGGUACUAAUGAACCGUGAGGCUUAACCUU